GUCUAAGUAGUAUAACUAAUACCUUGGUCUUGUAAACCAAAAAUGAAGAACAAUCUUCCUAAGACA
rnacentral:tRNA from 1 species